GACCGCAUCCGUGUUAAUCCUCAACUUUUAUAUAUGUUAUGUAUUAUCAAAUACGACUUGCAUUUCAAUAUUAAGAAUGAACACAAACAAUGUCAAAUGCGGCCACUUUCAUUUAAGACGGAAACCGUCUAAAAUGCUAAAAUUGUGAAGAUUUCAGUAAUGCUAAAUGCUAGUACCCGAUAUAUGUAUAAAAAAAAAUGAAAAAAAAAAGAGGCAAAUGUGGUAUGAUUGCCAAUGAGACAACUAUCCAUAUGUGCAUGGUAUUGUCAAAAACAGCCCAUAUUAAUGUAGCAGAAGCAUUCUAUUUUCUAUUAAAUAACUAUAAGUUUACAUUUUAACUAUGUUUUAAAACUGUUAUAUUUUAGGGCCAAAAAGCGGUCUUAAAAAAAUGUACUGGACCUACUCCUUUACAACGAUGCGUCAUUAGGAAUAUAAUCACCGUCGUAUACAUUAGGUUCUUGGAUUUGUGAAUACAAUAGUAUUUGACAAACGAGACGAUUUCAAUUUCGAAAUUAACCAUUUCCGCCACCUUAGUAUCAAAAUAUCAACUUCACCUUUAUAUUUCCCA
rnacentral:lncRNA from 1 species